rnacentral:piRNA from 1 species
GAUACCCUGUGGAGAUGAGAGGCUUU